UGCGGGGUGGAGCAGUCUGGUAGCUCGUCGGGCUCAUAACCCGGAGGUCGCUGGUUCAAAUCCAGCCCCCGCAACCA
rnacentral:tRNA from 1 species